rfam:Ciona savignyi cont_32278, whole genome shotgun sequence.
GUCGUCGUGGCCGAGUGGUUAAGGCGACAGACUUGAAAUCUGUUGGGCUCUGCCCGCACAGGUUCGAAUCCUUUCGGCAACG